rnacentral:rRNA from 1 species
CCUNNGUCGANAUUCCUACGGGAGGCAGCAGUAGGGAAUCUUGCGCAAUGGGCGAAAGCCUGACGCAGCGACGCCGCGUGUGGGAAGAAGGCCUUCGGGUUGUAAACCACUUUCAGGAGGGAAGAAGCGAAAGUGACGGUACCUCCAGAAGAAGGUCCGGCCAACUACGUGCCAGCAGCCGCGGUAAUACGUAGGGACCGAGCGUUGUCCGGAAUUAUUGGGCGUAAAGAGCUCGUAGGCGGUUCUUUAAGUCGGAUGUGAAAUCUCAGGGCUUAACCCUGAAACCGCACCCGAUACUGGAGAACUUGAGGCAGGUAGGGGAGAUCGGAAUUCCUGGUGUAGCGGUGAAAUGCGCAGAUAUCAGGAGGAACACCGGUGGCGAAGGCGGAUCUCUGGGCCUGUUCUGACGCUGAGGAGCGAAAGCGUGGGGAGCAAACAGGAUUAGAUACCCUGGUAGUCCACGCCGUAAACGAUGAGAACUAGAUGUUGGGGGGGUUGCCCUUCGGUGUCGAAGCUAACGCGUUAAGUUCUCCGCCUGGGGAGUACGCCGGCAACGGUAAAACUCAAAGGAAUUGACGG